rnacentral:rRNA from 1 species
UACGUAGGGGGCAAGCGUUGUCCGGAAUUAUUGGGCGUAAAGCGCGCGCAGGCGGUACAUUAAGUCUGGUGUUUAAGCCCAGGGCUCAACCUUGGGACGCACUGGAAACUGGUGAACUAGAGUGCAGAAGAGGAAAGUGGAAUUCCACGUGUAGCGGUGAAAUGCGUAGAGAUGUGGAGGAACACCAGUGGCGAAGGCGACUUUCUGGUCUGUAACUGACGCUGAGGCGCGAAAGCGUGGGGAGCAAACAGG